rnacentral:lncRNA from 1 species
AGAAGAAGAAGAAGAAGAAGAAGAAGAUGAGGAAGUGGAAGAAGAAGAAGAAGAAGAGGAAGUGGAAGAAGAAGAAGAAGAUGAGGAAGUGGAAGAAGAAGAAGAAGAAGAAGAAGAAGAAGAAGAUGAGGAAGUGGAAGAAGAAGAAGAAGAUGAGGAAGUGGAAGAAGAUGAGGAAGUGGACGACUGCCCUUCCUUUGGAACUGAUGAAGAGUACGAUAUAGUAUAUGACUCGGACGGCUAU